UAUUGAUUGGUGCUUGCAUCAUGAUUUACAUUUGAGUGAGUGGCGAACUGGUGAGUAACACGUGGGAAACCUGCCCAGAAGCGGGGGAUAACACCUGGAAACAGAUGCUAAUACCGCAUAACAACUUGGACCGCAUGGUCCGAGUUUGAAAGAUGGCUUCGGCUAUCACUUUUGGAUGGUCCCGCGGCGUAUUAGCUAGAUGGUGGGGUAACGGCUCACCAUGGCAAUGAUACGUAGCCGACCUGAGAGGGUAAUCGGCCACAUUGGGACUGAGACACGGCCCAAACUCCUACGGGAGGCAGCAGUAGGGAAUCUUCCACAAUGGACGAAAGUCUGAUGGAGCAACGCCGCGUGAGUGAAGAAGGGUUUCGGCUCGUAAAACUCUGUUGUUAAAGAAGAACAUAUCUGAGAGUAACUGUUCAGGUAUUGACGGUAUUUAACCAGAAAGCCACGGCUAACUACGUGCCAGCAGCCGCGGUAAUACGUAGGUGGCAAGCGUUGUCCGGAUUUAUUGGGCGUAAAGCGAGCGCAGGCGGUUUUUUAAGUCUGAUGUGAAAGCCUUCGGCUCAACCGAAGAAGUGCAUCGGAAACUGGGAAACUUGAGUGCAGAAGAGGACAGUGGAACUCCAUGUGUAGCGGUGAAAUGCGUAKAUAUAUGGAAGAACACCAGUGGCGAAGGCGGCUGUCUGGUCUGUAACUGACGCUGAGGCUCGAAAGUAUGGGUAGCAAACAGGAUUAGAUACCCUGGUAGUCCAUACCGUAAACGAUGAAUGCUAAGUGUUGGAUGGUUUCCGCCCUUCAGUGCUGCAGCUAACGCAUUAAGCAUUCCGCCUGGGGAGUACUGCCGCAAGGCUGAAACUCAAGGAAUUUGACGGGGGCCCGCACAAGCGGUGGAGCAUGUGGUUUAAUCGAAGCUACGCGAGAACCUUACAGUCUGACAUACUAUGCAAUCUAGAGAUAGA
rnacentral:rRNA from 1 species